GCGCCGGUAGCUCAAUUGGAUAGAGCGUUAGACUACGGAUCUAAAGGUUACGGGUUCAAGUCCUGUUCGGCGCGCCA
rnacentral:tRNA from 1 species